UGCCAUGAUGCCGUAAUUUGCGUCUUACCUGGCGCUCAGGGACAGUGGCCUGCUGUCCGUAAGCUGGCGCCUUCUGGGUGAUGACUGCUUGAAGCUGAGCG
rnacentral:snoRNA from 1 species